rnacentral:tRNA from 1 species
CCGCCCGUAGGGAAGUUGGUAUCCCGCCUCAUUUGGGAUGAGGAAAUCGCAGGUUCGAAUCCUGUCGGGCAGA